rnacentral:ncRNA from 1 species
CGCCGAAUGACCAAGGGUUCCUGGGCCAGGUUAAUCCGCCCAGGGUGAGUCGGGACCUAAGGCGAGGCCGACAGGCGUAGUCGAUGGACAACGGGUUGAUAUUCCCGUACCCGUGUAUCCGCGCCCAAUGCUGAAUCAGUUGUGCUAAGUAUCCAAAUGUUGUCUUACCGAGCCUUCGGGUGAGGGGGAUGAUGGCUGCAUAUGACCCUGACUGUAGUAGGUAAGCGAUGGGGUGACGCAGGAAGGUAGCUGGGCCAGGUGAUGGAAUACCUGGUGUAAGCGUGUAGGGAGUGUGAUAGGCAAAUCCGUCACACAUGUGUCCUGAGACGUGAUGCGUACCCGUUGAGGGGAAUUCAGUGAUCCUAUGCUGCCGAGAAAAGCCUCUAGCGAGCUGGUACAUGGCCCGUACCCCAAACCGACACAGGUGGUCAGGUAGAGAAUACUAAGGCGAUCGAGAGAACUGUGGUUAAGGAACUCGGCAAAAUGCCCCCGUAACUUCGGGAGAAGGGGGACCACAUCUGGUGAUGAUCUUUACGGUCUGAGCUGGGUGGGGUCGCAGAGACCAGAGAGAAGCGACUGUUUACUAAAAACACAGGUCCGUGCGAAGUCGUAAGACGAUGUAUACGGACUGACGCCUGCCCGGUGCCGGAAGGUUAAGAGGACCGGUUAGCCACUUGUGGCGAAGCUGAGAAUUUAAGCCCCGGUAAACGGCGGUGGUAACUAUAACCAUCCUAAGGUAGCGAAAUUCCUUGUCGGGUAAGUUCCGACCUGCACGAAUGGCGUAACGACUUCUCUGCUGUCUCAACCACAGACUCGGCGAAAUUGCAUUACGAGUAAAGAUGCUCGUUACGCGCGGCAGGACGAAAAGACCCCGGGACCUUCACUAUAGCUUGGUAUUGGUGUUCGGUACGGUUUGUGUAGGAUAGGUGGGAGACUGUGAAGCGGGCACGCUAGUGUUUGUGGAGUCGUCGUUGAAAUACCACUCUGAUCGUAUUGGACUUCUAACCUCGGACCAUGAUCUGGUUCAGGGACAGUGCCUGGUGGGUAGUUUAACUGGGGCGGUUGCCUCCUAAAAUGUAACGGAGGCGCCCAAAGGUUCCCUCAGCCUGGUUGGCAAUCAGGUGUUGAGUGCAAGUGCACAAGGGAGCUUGACUGUGAGACUGACAGGUCGAGCAGGGACGAAAGUCGGGACUAGUGAUCCGGCACCGGCAAGUGGAAGCGGUGUCGCUCAACGGAUAAAAGGUACCCCGGGGAUAACAGGCUGAUCUUCCCCAAGAGUCCAUAUCGACGGGAUGGUUUGGCACCUCGAUGUCGGCUCGUCGCAUCCUGGGGCUGGAGUAGGUCCCAAGGGUUGGGCUGUUCGCCCAUUAAAGCGGCACGCGAGCUGGGUUUAGAACGUCGUGAGACAGUUCGGUCUCUAUCCGCCGCGCGCGUUAGAAACUUGAGGAAGGCUGUCCCUAGUACGAGAGGACCGGGACGGACGAACCUCUGGUGUGCCAGUUGUUCCGCCAGGAGCACUGCUGGUUGGCUACGUUCGGAAGGGAUAACCGCUGAAAGCAUCUAAGCGGGAAGCCUGUUCCAAGAUGAGGUUUCUCUCCACCUUGAGUGGUUAAGGCCCCCUACAGACCAUGGGGUUGAUAGGCCGGAACUGGAAGCCAGGUAACUGGUGUAGGUGACUGGUACUAAUAGGCC